AAUAGAUACCCUGGUAGUCCACGCCGUAAACGAUGAGUGCUAAGUGUUGGGGGGUUUCCGCCCCUCAGUGCUGCAGCUAACGCAUUAAGCACUCCGCCUGGGGAGUACGGUCGCAAGACUGAAACUCAAAGGAAUUGACGGGGGCCCGCACAAGCGGUGGAGCAUGUGGUUUAAUUCGAAGCAACGCGAAGAACCUUACCAGGUCUUGACAUCCCGGUGACCACUAUGGAGACAUAGUUUCCCCUUCGGGGGCAACGGUGACAGGUGGUGCAUGGUUGUCGUCAGCUCGUGUCGUGAGAUGUUAGGUUAAGUCCCGCAACGAGCGCAACCCUUAUUCUUAGUUGCCAUCAUUCAGUUGGGCACUCUAAGGAGACUGCCGGUGAUAAACCGGAGGAAGGUGGGGAUGACGUCAAAUCAUCAUGCCCCUUAUGACCUGGGCUACACACAUGCUACAAUGGACGGUACAAACGGUUGCCAACCCGCGAGGGGGAGCUAAUCCGAUAAAACCGUUCUCAGUUCGGAUUGUAGGCUGCAACUCGCCUAC
rnacentral:rRNA from 1 species